rfam:Punica granatum cultivar Dabenzi scaffold532, whole genome shotgun sequence.
UGCCCAAUGAGGAAGAUUACCCAAAUUGAUAGGAAGUGCCGUAUGACACUCCAAAAAGCAGCGGUGCCGCUCUCUAUCGCCGCCUUCUUCCCACCCACCGCUUCCACUGCCUGCUCACUUCCUCGAGGAGGCAGAGGGUCGGCCGGGAUCGGGCGUCGAUGGCGGCCCGCUGUGUGGUUGAUUUGAAACGGGACUCUGAGGGAU